rnacentral:rRNA from 1 species
UACGUAGGGGGCAAGCGUUAUCCGGAAUUACUGGGUGUAAAGGGAGCGUAGGCGGCAUGGUAAGCCAGAUGUGAAAGCCUUGGGCUUAACCCGAGGAUUGCAUUUGGAACUAUCAAGCUAGAGUACAGGAGAGGAAAGCGGAAUUCCUAGUGUAGCGGUGAAAUGCGUAGAUAUUAGGAAGAACACCAGUGGCGAAGGCGGCUUUCUGGACUGAAACUGACGCUGAGGCUCGAAAGCGUGGGGAGCGAACAGG